GGGUCAGUAGGUUGGUCGUGCCACCGGUACGUACUGGUCUCACUGAUUCCUCCUUCCUGAAGAACCGUAAUGCCAUUAAUUUGGUGUUGCGGGGAAACAGGACUGUUACUUUGAAAAAAUUAGAGUGUUUAAAGCAAGCUAACGCUUGAAUACAUUAGCAUGGAAUAAUGAAAUAGGACGAUCGAUCCUAUUUUGUUGGCUUCUAGGGUUGACGUAAUGAUUAAUAGAUAGUUGGG
rnacentral:rRNA from 1 species